rnacentral:lncRNA from 1 species
GACUCCAAAAUGAAUAUUCUCAAUUGCAAUGCUAAGUACUGUUAUGCUGCUCCUAUUGGAACAUGGGACACAGACCUCACUAAAUGGUGGUGACCAAGAGGCUGAGAAGUCCCAAGAUCUGCAGAGGGCAAGCUGGUGACCCAGGACAAAUAUUGGUUUUUCCAGUCCCAGCCUGAAGGCCUGAGAACCAGGAGAGCCAAUGGU